AUACGGAGGGUGCAAGCGUUAAUCGGAAUUACUGGGCGUAAAGCGCGCGUAGGCGGUUUGAUCAGUCGGGUGUGAAAGCCCUGGGCUCAACCUGGGAACUGCAUUCGAUACUGUCAGACUAGAAUAUGGUAGAGGGUAGUGGAAUUCCUGGUGUAGCGGUGAAAUGCGUAGAUAUCAGGAGGAACAUCAGUGGCGAAGGCGGCUACCUGGACCAAUAUUGACGCUGAGGUGCGAAAGCGUGGGGAGCAAACAGGAUUAGAAACCCUAGUAGUCC
rnacentral:rRNA from 1 species